AUGGCAGCGUCUCCCACCUUUUUGAAUGGAGUGAGGAUCAAGAAUUUUGUAUCACUGUGGUGGACUUUUGGUGGAGGAACCAGACUGGAGGUUGAUUUGGGUCAUGUUCCCCCCAAGCUGACAGUGCUGUCCCCCUCCAUGCAUGAGGGGAAGGCCACACUCCUGUGUCUGGCCAACAAUGGCUUCCCUUCAGGCUGGACUCUGUCCUGGAAGGUGGGCGGCAGCAGCAUCAGCAGCAGCUGGGAGGAGAGCAGGAGCCCCGGGGUGCUGCAGAAGGACGGCCUCUACAGCUGGAGCAGCACCCUGAGGCUCCCUGCAGACCAGUGGGAGAAGCUGGACUCUGUGACCUGUGAGGCCACCCAGGACUCCCAGACUCCAGUCCCAGAGACUCUGUGGAGAAACCAGUGUUCCUAGUCACCACCUGACUGACUGG